GGCCUCCUGGUACUUCUAACAGGCUGUGUUCUUACUCAGUCUGUAUAGAAGGAGGAGGCAAAAUAAACCUACCCCAUACACACCUCAGCCCCAGGCCUGGAGCCUGGACCUUAUUGUGAAUGCAGACACAUGG
ensembl:snoRNA